UAACCGCCAUCUUUGCAACCGCCAUCUUUGUAACCGCCAUCUUUGUAAUCGCCAUCAUGACCACUACCACCGCCGUCAUAAUCAUCACUAUCACUUCUACCACUAUCAUCACCAUUGGUCUUACAGUCUGAUACCAUGUUCAUCACCACCGUCGCGUUGGACCUCAUUGCGGUCACCACCACGACCAUCAUCACUAUCCUCGUCUGAGCUUACUGAGAGGAGCCUCCGCAGUAAGAGAAAAGUCAGCUAAUAUUCUAGAAGACAGAUAUGUUGCUAGGGUAACUGAAGGCUGAAACAUAUCCCAGUUGACAGAACUGCAGAAACAUGCCCAAAGAAGAUAAUCCCUCUCGGCAACUGUUGUGCAUGGGCUUCUGAAGAUAGCGCAGCUGACACACAGGACUGCCCAUCAGCACUUCCCAGAACCAAGAAGCAGAACGGUGGCCACACAAGACAAGUUCUGUCUUAGGGGUGGCUUGCCUAUCCUUCCCGUUGAUAAGACGCAGUGUGUUUUCCACGGGGAGCCUCCUGAUGUGGAAGCCUGCUUCGCCUUGUCAAGCCAGCGAAGCCAAGUCAAGUUCCCAGCCAUGGUCACCUUUGCAUAGAAUAUCCCCAUCAGUAAGAUAAUACAUUCAGAGGAAGAAAUCACAGUGAGACAGGAAGGGCAAGAAGCGAGGAUGGGAAUAUGGACAAUGAGAGGAGAGAUGAGCUGUCUGGACGUGGCUUCUGAGAACUCAACUCCUGCCUCCAACUCUCUGCCCCUGCAUGGAGACAACUACCCAUUGACCUAUCUGAAGAAUUGGCUGUCACGGGGCCACCCUUUUUCUGUGGCUUUGUCAGACACCAAAAGUCCAACUGUAAUCGGGAAGACCGUGUUCCUGUGUUGAUCUUUUGUAGUCAUUCACACUCUGCCCUUCUCCAUCCUUCUCAGUAAACAGUGUCUUGGCAGUGGC